rnacentral:tRNA from 1 species
CGGGGUGUAGCUUAGCUUGGUAGAGCGCCUGCUUUGGGAGCAGGAGGUCGCUGGUUCGAAUCCAGUCACCCCGA